CUCUUCCUCAAGGCGCGACCAACUCAGUUGCGCAUAUGAUGAAUGGGAUGAAUAAGGUAUUGAGAGAUUUUAUUCCAGAAAAGACUAUGCCUUUUCAGGAUGAUGUUCCUAUAAAAGGGUGCAGAGAAGGAGACAAGGAUGAAACUUUAGAUAAGAGAGGGUGUCGCAAAUAUGUUGUUGAUCAUAUACAAGAUUGUGAAAAGAUUUUAACUUGGCUUGGAGAAGUUCAUCUUACAUUAUCGGAUAUGAAGUCCAUAUUUGGAG
rnacentral:lncRNA from 1 species